AUGUGUGGUGUUGUGUUCAUCCAUGCUCAAAUCUUCUAGUCCUCCCACCAAACAGGAGGACAUAUUUUAGUCAAAGACGUGGCCUGCGGAAUCUCCAGUUAAAUAGGAGUAUAUUAAGUUUGGACUUGAACGUAGCAAGCAAAGCUUUGCAUACAGACAGCUUAUUUCUGGUUUUGUCUUGCAAUGGCGGGGUUAUUGAAAUCUCAGCCUCUUGUUACCAGAAACCUUAAAUCUUAUUGUUUGGCCCCCCGAAUUCCAUCUGGGUCAGUCCCUGUAAGAUCUGAGCUGGGCGCUCCCCAGAUCAAAUCCCCCGAUGGUUUAGCUGCAGAAAAUAGUGGAAGGCUGCUGUAUUACCCUGGCGGCGGUUCUAGGGUUUCUAGGGUUUCAGUCAGCAAUGAUAAUAAUAAGGAUGCGAAAAUUAUGUUGCCGCCUCGUCUGUGCACUCUCAGAGCUUUUGGUAAGAGCGCCGACGGCAUGGUGAAGGCAGAGCCCGACAGAAUGUCCAGCUUUUUCACAUCUCUUGCCGCCAGCAUCGACCAUUCCAACAAAAUCAAAGACUGGGAGAUUCUUUCAGGUCGCAUGGCUAUGAUUGUUUUUGCUGCAGCCAUCAAUGUGGAGCUGUUGACAGGGAAUUCACUAUUUCAAAAGAUGGAUGUGCAGAAGAUCUGUGAAUUUGGGGGAGUGUGCUUGGCUUCCAUUUUCUGCGCUGCUGGACUUGCAUGGGCAUCCCGUGCUAAAUCGCAGGUGGCAAACAUUUUUUCUGCAAGAUGUAAUGAAUUUGUGGACACUGUUAUUGAUCAAUUAGUGGAUGGACUUUUUUAUGAGGAAGAGCAGGACUGAUUCACAGAAACAGUUCUUUGACUGGAGAUGCAAACUAGAGUUAUGAUACAUCUGUAAAUAUGAUGAGAUUUAGGCACAUCUAAGUAGAAUUUUCAAAGGCGAACCUCUAGCUUUUUCAGGCUGGUAAAUUGAUGAGAAUUUACCACCUGGUGGACCAGGAUAGAUGGUAUCUUGCACUUGUCACAUCAUCAUAGAGGUUAGAUCAUAGUUACAAGACUUGGACUUGGCAAGCUGAUUUUUUACUUAAAUUCAGACCUUGCAAAAAAUGAAAAACCAUGAAAGAUAGAGAUUUUUAAGGAUUCAAAGCUUUUACAGCAUACCCUUCAGUAAAUGAACUUUGAAGAGAUGAUAAACAUAUUAAUUAGAAGCUACUUUGAUUACAUACACAAAAUAAGUUAUUUUGGAGCAAUAUAUUUUGAUUACAUUCUUGUAUUACAAUUAUAAGUUAUUUUGCAAAAUAUAUUUUGGAGCAAUAUUAAGGGUGAGAAUCAGAACAUUGUUCCGACUUUUUGUGCAAUCUGUUUUGUGGAUUGGUACUAGUUGUGAGUUACUUGCUACAGAGUUGUCUUCUUUAUAUUAUCUGGUUACCGAAUACAAGGUUGAGUUGUGUUUUUAUAUGAAUUAUGUUUUAAAGGCUGUAAUGACCCUUGAUAGUCUCUGUAAUAAUUUUUUUGUCUAUUAUUGGUUAAGUUGUGCUAUCAAUUUGCUUGCAAAAGGGGGUAAUUGUGAUUAUUGUGCUAAGACCUUGAUUGGAACGAUAUGAGUAAGAACAAGUCAUACAAUUUCUAUCUAGCAAUGAUCCUUCUAGAAUGUAUGAAUCAAUAACUUCUAAAAUACAUAGAAGGGUACUAACUGUAAUAUAAUAUUUAUCAAAGUAUAAAUCUGCUAAGGAUAUAUAAAUGCUCUAACUCUGAUUAAUAUUAAUAUGUCUGAGUUCAGAUCUGUAGAAUAAUUACACAAUGAGAUGGUUGUAGAUCUUGCUAAUUAUAUGAAGAAAUAGAGGACUCGAUCCUUGCAAUGGUCAGAUCGCUUUUUCUGAAUCACUUCUUUAUGAUCAUGCAAAUGAAUGGAUCUGAAUCGUGUAUGAAAGAAUAGUGUCUUGAAACUGAUCGAUCUUCCAGAAUUAUUGCCUUCUAAGUUUCUAACCAUGCGAUUUCCUUGACACUGUUUCUGCUUGAUUGGCUCUUUGUUCAUGCGUCCAAAGCCAUGUAAUUGGUGGUAAUGAACCCUUUAAAUACUGGGCAGAUCGUAGGCUCUUUGAGCGCUUUGUAUCCGAGUUAGAACAAUUAAGAAUAACAAGUCUUUGAUGCCUCUUUGGUGAGCCACGAUUCUCCUCUAAUAGCUAUCGAAGGGACGUGAUGUGAGGAGUUGUAUCUCACAAUAGCCAUGUAUCUUCCAACACUCAAUUAGUUAUGUCUCUAAUUGGACUUCUUCCUUGUUUACUAGCAACAUCAUUUAAUGAAUUAAUUAUUUCGUGAUUGAA